rnacentral:rRNA from 1 species
UACGGGGGGGGCAAGCGUUGUUCGGAAUUACUGGGCGUAAAGGGCUCGUAGGUGGCCAACUAAGUCAGACGUGAAAUCCCUCGGCUUAACCGGGGAACUGCGUCUGAUACUGGAUGGCUUGAGUUUGGGAGAGGGACGCGGAAUUCCAGGUGUAGCGGUGAAAUGCGUAGAUAUCUGGAGGAACACCAAUGGCGAAGGCAGCUCGCUGGGACGGUACUGACGCUGAGACGCGAAAGCGUGGGGAGCAAACAGG